AUUUAUCCACUGCCUUCUUCAUUCUUCCUCACUACUCAUAUUCUCUAUUUAGUAUCAUAGAAUGGUUUGAUUUGGAAGGGACCUUAAGGAUCAUUUACUUCCAAUCCCACUGCCAUGGACAGGGACACCUUCCACUGGACCAGAAAGCACAUACAUUAGAAAUGGGACAACACUGCCUCUAACUACCAAGCGAAGCUUUGGACUCAUUGUUUACUAGUUCAUUUCUUCUAAAAAGAUUCACUAAGGAAAAGUGGGAAAGACCUCCAAGAUCAUUGGCUUCAACCUUUGAAUACCACAUUGUCAACUAGACCAUGGCCACGUUCUGUUUCUUGAACACCCCCAGGGAUGGUGACUCCAUCAUCCAGUCCAUUCCAACGUUCAACAUCCUUUUCUGUGAAGAAAUUCCUCCUGAGGUCCAGACUGAAUCUUCUCCUGUGCACCUUGAGGCCAUGUCCUCUCACACUGUCCCUUGUUUCCUGGGAGAAGAGCCCGGCCCCCGCCUGGCCUCAGCCUCCCUCAGGGCUCUGUGGGAGCGGUGCGGUCGCAGCCGAGCCUCCUUUGCUCUGGGCUGAACAGCCCCAGCCCCAGCAGGAUUUGUGCUCCAGACCCUUCCCAGCUCCGCCGGCCUUCGCUGGACCCGCUCCAGCUCCUGGAUGUCCUUCCUGAGCUGAGGGGCCCGGGGCUGCACACAGCACUCAAGGUGCAGCCUCACCAGUGCCCUGUACAGGGGGACAAUCACUUUCCUUAUGCUGCUGGCCCCACUAUUUGUGGUACAAGCUUGGAUAUAGGAUCCAAAUACGAAUUAAGUUACAAAAAAAUGAGGAAAUAAGCUAGGUUGUAUUUGUGUAAAGCUGUCUUGAGUCUAGAACAGCUGAAAGAAAUAAUUUAAAUGUUUAGAUUUAACGUAGGUUAGAGCAGAUGAUUGUUUUAAACUUGAAUUUGUAAUUGGUGUAGUUACCAAGAGAUUGUGCACAAAAUUCCAACUGUUUGCUGCUUGAUAAUUUUGUUAAAUAAGUAAAUAGAAGGACCAAAGACUGAGCAAACAACUAGACCUAGUUAUCCCUUCUUAUGAAAUUCAAUCCUUUUAUCUGUCAUGGUUUCAAGACAUGAUACUAUCAAUAGUUUUUUUCAGAAAUAAACAUUAUGAAAUUUCCAAUCCACAUAGCAAUAAAAGAUUCCAGAGUUAUAUCUGUGUAAAGAGAAGGAAAGAGAUGUCAGGAAAGAAACUUUUGUAUACAUUUUUCUUUGUACUGAUAUCCUCCAAGCUGAAAUUUUUAUGUUCAAGGGUGGAAGCAAUAGUCAGUUUUCCUAUCCUAGUGGAUCUACCCACUGUUUGAGGAGAUUAAAUUAAGAGAAGGAUAAUGCUUGCUACUUUGCAUUCAUGUUCCAAAACCCCUGCUUUAGAUGUUUUUGAAAAACAAGUCAUGGUUAAUUUUAUUCUAGACCACAGAUUUAAAUGUUUCUUCAGAAUGAAACUGGCUUGCAACUCAGUGGAUCUUUUUUUCUUUUAUCUUUUUGGGAAAUUAUGGUGUUGGCCCUCAAGAUAUUUUCCAAAUUUUUGUGGCCUGAUUUUGCUUAAAACAAGGUUGAAACACUAAGCAAGAUUUUUUUUUCUUAUUCAAAUCUGUGGAAAUUACAUGAGCACGUGGAAGAUACUUUUAUGGUUUUGGAACCUUAACUGAUCUCUUUAUCUGGACUUUGAUGCAUAAAAAACCCUCCCAAAUCUUAAAACAAAACCAGAUACUCCUAUUGGAUAUUUAGACACUAUGUAUACUGGUUUAAGACAUAAAUGAAUUAAUCUUAAAGCUAUUUAUAGUUGCUUUAUUUAAAAACAGUUUUUCAAACCACUCUACCAUGUGUCUACUGGUUCAUCUUGCUUAUUUUUCUACCAUAGGCAUGUAGUAUAUCAGGUCAUAGAAUGUAGCCCAGAUUCUUGUGCAUUUUUAUUGUCUUGGCCUAAUUCUCUUUUCAAAACAAGAAAUGGUUAAGUAGUGUUGCUGGAAGAUGAGGCUAAAUUACUUCUUUACAUUAUGUACAGUAUAAGUACCUUAGUCUCCCAACAUUUUCUGGAACAUCAAGUUAAAGAAAUGUUGUUUUCCUUGGAUUUUGAAAAUCACACUACUUAGACACAUUGUUAGGGUUGGGAACACACUCUAAAGAACAUGCUUUUGCAUGCCAUCUGUAAGUGCAAGAAUCAAAGGUAAUCUUUUAGAUUCUACUUUAUUGCAUAUUUCUAAAUGCCAUGAAUGGCUUUAUUUUUUUUUUCAAAUUCUUUAUUUCAGAAAUACAUUUAAAGUAGUUUAUGUGCAAGGCUGGAGAAAAAUCUACGCUGAGGUCAUCAUCUUUUUAUUUUAUUAGGAUUGAGUAAGGGUCAUAAAUGACAUUUUAGAAAAAAAAUAGUAAAUAUAUUCCUGACAAUUACUGCAAUUAAAAAAUCCAAACAUGAAUUGGUUUGACUUUCAUAUAUGAUAUUAUAUCCCUAUAUGAAAUUCAAAUUAAAUUAAAUUCUUUUUCUAAAAGGGCAGGAAUAGGAGAUUAAAAUACAUUUUCAACAGCUCAUAGCUUUCAUGCACUAAAUCAUAAACAUCAGCUGCAAACAUAAAAACAGAUCAAUUCCAUUACUAGUGUUCUGAAACAUUUGACUCAUGAACAUGGAAUUUAAAGACACAAAAAAUACCAAAUGUUAGAAAAGUCAUAUAUGUUACCUUAGAAAGUCAGAUCUUCUUUAAUAUUGAUUUUAGAAUGAAAUCUCAACUGGCUGUUUACCAGGUAGUGAAACAAAGGGAAUCAAGUCCCUCUAGAUUUGCUUGGAAAAUCUUGAACCUUCAGUAGUGCCAAAUAGGCUUGAGGAGAAACAGUGCCUGGAAUUUGCUCAAAUUUAAAUGUUACAUUCAGAUGAGAAUGAGCUGAGUCAAGAAGAGAAAAGAAGAAAAAGCAUGAGCGCACAAGCAAGAAGUAAAACAGUCAAGUGUUGCCCAGUUGUGCAUGCUCUACUGCUCUUGUACUCUCGGGCAGUUACACAGUUAGCAAAUAUUUGUUUGUGUUGGAUGAUUUUAACAAUGUGCCAGUGUAAGAAAAUUAAGUUACCUCUGAUAUACUGGCUUAAGACCUGCUAACUUGGGCUACACUUACGACCCUACUCAAAAAAUCUCUCUAGUGUACAGAUGAAGGCAUAAACUGCAAAGAAAAAAGCUAUUUUCCUAGCUAUUUAAAAGGGCACUGAAAAAAAAAACCUGUGAGAAAAAGAAAGGAACUGUAAGCAGCAGGGGGAAAAAACAAACCCAAGGGAAAAAAAAAAUUAAAAAAAAGAGGUCAAAAAUAAUAUUUUUUUAAGAAAAGCAGUAUUUUCUACCUCCCACUUGAGAGAGAAGCAGUAGGCCAAUGAGGACAUACAUGUAAUGUAAUAAUGUAAAUAAAAAAACUAAUGUUGCACAUUUGGUGGCUCACAACAUUUUCCACUUCUACUAUUCCCAAUGUUCACCAACACCUGAGCUCAUAAGGAAGAGAUUAGUAAAUGAAAGGUAGGAAAGAAAAAUAUGCCCUGAUAACCAUCAUCCUUAUCAACACUAACCAACUCCCAGAAACACAGGACAACAAUUUUUUGCCAAUCUAUACAAAACUUUAUCUCAGAAAUGGAGCAAAAAGUAGAAUUUGAAAGAAGUAAAUUUUAUCUGCAUAAUACCAUUGUUUCAAACAUUUCUUGAAAGUCUAUAAUUGCACUAUGUGAUGAAUGAAUAAUAUUAGAAAACAUCUACAGCAAAGUGGUAGUGGCUAUGGUUAGGUGAAUUUUCCAGCUUAGUCUAUUUAAUUUCAGUUUUACACAUUUACUUUAAAAUUUUGUUUCGUUGAGUCAUGUAUAGAAUCAAAGCCCCUUCUAGAAAGCUUUGUAAUUUUAAGAUUAUUUCAUAUUAAUUUAAUUUUAUUAUCAAUCAAAGGCUGUAGUAUGUGGCAAGCUUUUCAGUGCCAGAAAAAAUAAUCCUUUAUUGCUAUUGUUGUUUCAUCAACAAGAAGGUUACAGAGUGCAUUACUUCUGUAGGUCAAGCCUACUGUGCAUGCUGGGGAGCCUUUCUUCUCCUCUCUAAAUGCACUGGCUACAAACAUUCACAUCCCCUGUAAUUUGCCGGCUCUUUGGAGCUCCUUGAGUUCUUUAUUUCAUUCUAGAGUUUCUAGAUAUAUCCCUACCCUUGCUUUUCUCCCAGACAAGGAUACCCUCUUGUCUUACCCUCCUGCCAGGGUGUCUUGAAAGCCAUUCAUUCAGGGAUUUCAUAUCUUAAGAAGCUGAAAACAGGCGCACAGGUGAAAGUCUAUAGGCUGAUGCAGAGGCACUUUUGGGUUCUGGAUGUGGUAAUCAGAGUUCCACCCACUUUGAUUUUCCCUGUUCAACCCAUUGAUUCACAGAAAUUUAUUUCAGACGGCACAGUAGAAGUAGACAAAAAUGCCAUUAAGCUGCAUGUUGAAUCUCCCUGCAAUCUGGCAGUUAUGCUGCUGCUACUUCUUUGUACCACCUCUCUGCUAACCUAUGGAUAGCAAGGCGAAGCUGUUUUCACUAGACUCGUUUAAAUACACAAUUAAACUACAAGGUCUUCUUAAAAUGAAAUCACUGCUUAUUGCAACUGUGAAAGAAAAACAUUCUUUUUCAGUAGUUGACAGCCCCAGUAGUGUGUAGCAAGUUAGCUAAGUAGCCAUGUUUUUUGCUUUUCUCCAGCUUUUGCUAGUCUGGAUAGGGACAAUUCUUUGUUUCUCCAGCAUUUUGUUUCUACAAUACCAUGUCAAAACUGACUAAUGGGGAGCAAUUUCUGUAAGAAUACUACAUAUUCCUAUCCAAUAUUAAAAUUACUAUUGAUACAUACGGAAUACCAAAAUAACACUAUAUGUUUUAAAGAGAAAUGUGAAUACCUAGAACUUUUAAUAUGUCAUUUUUAUGCAAAAUAAUAUGCAUUUUUCUUAUAAACUGGUAUGUUAUAUUUAAUAUAAGACAGCAACGUUAUAUAGCCCACUAACUGAAAAGGAAGUAUUCUAGUAAAGUAAAGUAAAAUACAGUCAAAAUAAAGUAAAGUAAAAUACAGUUAGAAAUAACUAAUAUAUUAAUUUUUUUCCAAGGGCUUUCUACUGAGUUAAGUUAAAGGCUUUCUUGAAAUGUGUCGACUCUCUAGGUGUUACAUAUCUGGGCAGUAUAUAGAUGAUGAGAGCCAUUGGACUUAAUAUAUGCAUUGAACUAUAGAAAGGCAUUAGAGCUUUUGAUUUGCAUGUUCUGUCUUUCUUAUGUGCAGUUUUCU